CCUACGGGAGGCAGCAGUAGGGAAUAUUGCUCAAUGGAGGAAACCCUGACGCAGCAACGCCGCGUGGAGGAUGAAGGUAUUAGGAUUGUAAACCCCUUUUGUGAGAGAAGAUAAUGACGGUAUCCCACGAAUAAGCACCGGCUCACUCUGUGCCAGCAGCCGCGGUAAUACGGAGGGUGCACGGGUUACUCGGAAUCACUGGGCGGAAAGAGUGCGCAGGCGGGCUUGUAUGUCCGAUGUGAAAUCCUGUAGCUUAACUACAGAACUGCAUUUGAAACUAUGAGUCUAGAGUGUUGGAGAGGUAGGUGGAAUUCUUGGUGUAGAGGUAGAAUCCGUAGAUAUCAAGAGGAAUACUCAUUGCGAAGGCGACCUACUGGAACAUUACUGACGCUCAUGCACGAAAGCGUGGGGAGCAAACAGGAUUAGAUACCCUUGUAGUC
rnacentral:rRNA from 1 species